CAGGUGGCAGAGUGGGCCCCUUUACCACCCUUUGCAAUGUCACCAUGACUGUGCACACAGACACUUCCUCUGCAAAUACUCUUCUGUUUUCCCUCCUUUAUUGACUAGCCCCUCCAGAAAUGAGAAAAUCAGAUUACCAGUUUACACUGGUCUCGUUCAAGCCGUGCCUGAUGAAUUAUCAAUGGCUGUGGCCAAACCAUGGGAACGGUGUAUCCCCUGGUGGGCGAGGCAGCCUACGUGACCCAGGGUCGUUGCUCCUCUCAGGCCUGACUGACGGGCAGCUGGAAGGGGAGCUGUCUCUGGCGGAGCGUGUCGGGCCGGGCCGCCUGUGGAGCUGACCGCUAGCCCGAGCAGCAGCCAGCCGUGUCCCAGCGCCGCCACAGGACACCAACGGCAGAUAAACGAACUCCACGGGAGAUCUGCAGGCAGGCAUGACGGAGAGAAAGAGCUCUUCUUCAUACAUGUGCCAGAGGAGGAGGAGGAGGAGGCGCUCCAGAAGAAAGAGGGGAGGCCCGGGGGGGAGCUGACAGCCUCAUCCCUCUCUGUCCCCCUCCAUCCAUCCCGCCCCCCGUGACAGCCGCUGGUCGAGCAGAACGCCGCCUGCCAGCCAGGAGCCUCUUUCAGAUCGGCAGCCGUCUGCGCUGAAGUUCCUUUGAGGAAGAAUCCAUACUGUUUUCUCUGCAGUGCUACUCAGAAGCCCGUUGAACGCAG
ensembl:lncRNA